rnacentral:rRNA from 1 species
AGAGUUUGAUCCUGGCUCAGGAUGAAUGCUGGCGGUGUGCCUGAGAUAUGCAAGUCGAGCGUUGCCUUACUGAACUCGCAAGAGGGAGGUGAGGAAGCGGCGGACGGCUGAGUAACACGUUGGAAUCUCCCCCUAGGUAAAGAAUAGCUCACCGAAAGGUGGGGUAAUGCUUUAUGGUUCCCCCGAUUUAUCGGGGGAUAAAGACGCAAGUCGCCAAGGGAUGAUCCUGCGUCCUAUCAGGUAGUUGGUGGGGUAACGGCCUACCAAGCCAAUGACGGGUAGCUGGCCUCAUGAGGGUGGUCAGCCAGAGGGGGACUGAGACACGGCCCCCACUCCUACGGGAGGCAGCAAUCAGGAAUAGUCGGCAAUGGGCGAAAGCCUGACCGCGCGACACCGCGUGUAGGAAUAAGUACGAAAGUAUGUAAACUACUGUGGUAGGGGAAGAAGAUCCGCAAGGAUUUGACGGUACCCUACUAGAAAGGAGCCGCUAACUGCGUGCCAGAAGCGUCGGUAAUACGUGGGCUUCAAGCAUUAUCCGGUCUUAUUGGGCAUAAAGGGUCGUGUAGGUGGUUAUAUAAAGUUAUCUUUUAAAUUCCAACGCUUAACGUUGGGCAUGGAGAUAAGACUAUAUGGCUAGAAUUUNCUUAAGGGAGAAUGGAACUGANAGAGGAGUAGUGAAAUGCGUUGAUCUCUUGGGAACACCAUGGCGAAAGCGAUUCUUUUGGAAGGAAA